ACAGUAUAAUGAAAUACUAACCAACGGGACUAGAGCAUUCACAGGAAGAAAUGUAACAACCAACGACAGAACAGCAUGAUACUGUGAUCAGCUCGCCCAGCACUGGAGAAUUUAUGCCGUGUCAUCUUUGGCCGUAGGGAUUUUGGCCACACCAUGAGACCUGUAUCUCGGCGGGGCUUAUCUAGUUCCGAGAGAAACAGAACAAAAGACGGUUUCUGGAUAAGAACAGGCUUUUGUUACAGAGAUAAUCUGGAGUGUUUAUAAUCAACAUAACAAGAGGAGAGAAUCCACAUAAAAUUCCACACCCUAGCCAUUUUAAGGAAAAGGGCUGACUUCAAAACUGGAUUUCGGGAGAAAUGCAGUCCUUGGGAACCUGAUGUCAGGAGAAGAAAUUAAUGGAAAAUGUCGUGAGGCCUAGAAGCCAAAAGAGCAAACUUUUUAUCUAUAUUCUUGAGUAACUGGAAAGCAAAAACCUCAAAUAUUUCCCUUUAAAUAUAACUAUAGUUAUACUUCAUUCCUAUCUACCAUAUAAAUAUACCAUGUAAAAUGGAUAUACCAAGUAUGUGGAAUAUAAUAAAUCCCCAUAAAAUGGGGAUGAUAAUUCCAAACUUAUAAAGAUUUUGUGAAGAUUAAAGCACUAUUAAAACCUGG